rnacentral:rRNA from 1 species
UACGAGUGCCCCGAGCGUUAUCCGGAAUCAUUGGGCGUAAAGGGUGUGUAGGUGGUCUUGUUAGUCUUCUGUCAAAUUCUUCGGCUUAACCGGGGGUCCGCAGGGGAAACGGCAAGACUCGAGGAUGCGAGGGGUGAAUGGAACUCAUAGUGGAGGGGUGAAAUCCGUUGAUAUUAUGGGGAACACCAAAAGCGAAGGCAAUUCACUGGCGCACUUCCUGACACUGAAACACGAAAGCGUGGGUAGCGAAUGGG